rnacentral:rRNA from 1 species
UACGGGGGGGGGCAAGCGUUUGUUCGGAAUUACUGGGCGUAAAGGGCUCGUAGGCGGCCAACUAAGUCAUACGUGAAAUCCCUCGGCUUAACCGGGGAACUGCGUCUGAUACUGGAUGGCUUGAGUUCGGGAGAGGGAUGCGGAAUUCCAGGUGUAGCGGUGAAAUGCGUAGAUAUCUGGAGGAACACCGGUGGCGAAGGCGGCAUCCUGGACCGACACUGACGCUGAGGAGCGAAAGCCAGGGGA